ACGAACGCUGGCGGCGUGCUUAACACAUGCAAGUCGAACGGAAAGGCCCUGCUUGCCGGGUACUCGAGUGGCGAACGGGUGAGUAACACGUGGGUGAUCUGCCCUGCACUUCGGGAUAAGCCUGGGAAACUGGGUCUAAUACCGGAUAGGAGCCAUUUUUAGUGUGAUGGUUGGAAAGUUUUUUCGGUGUAGGAUGAGCUCGCGGCCUAUCAGCUUGUUGGUGGGGUAAUGGCCUACCAAGGCGGCGACGGGUAGCCGGCCUGAGAGGGUGGACGGCCACAUUGGGACUGAGAUACGGCCCAGACUCCUACGGGAGGCAGCAGUGGGGAAUAUUGCACAAUGGGCGCAAGCCUGAUGCAGCGACGCCGCGUGGGGGAUGACGGCCUUCGGGUUGUAAACUCCUUUCGCUAGGGACGAAGCUUUUAGUGACGGUACCUAGAUAAGAAGCACCGGCUAACUACGUG
rnacentral:rRNA from 1 species